CAAUGAAGUGUUUCUACUACAUUGGAUUUACCAUCUGUUUAUUAUGAGGCAGGCAAAAACUGACAUAGACACAUAUAGUGAAAUCAUCAAAUCAAAUGUCAAAACUUAAUUAUGUGAUUACUGAUCAUAAUAUGUGAUGGUUAUAAUGAUAGUUAGAACAUACAUGUGAUGGUUAUAAUGAUAGAACAUACAUGUGAUGGUUAUAAUGAUAGUUAGAACAUGCAUGUGAUGGUUAUAAUGAUAGAACAUACAUGUGAUGGUUAUAAUGAUAGAACAUACAUGUGAUGGUUAUAAUGAUAGAACAUACAUGUGAUGGUUAUAAUGAUAGAACAUACAUGUGAUGGUUAUAAUGAUAGAACCUACAUGUGAUGGUUAUAAUGAUAGUUAGAACAUACAUGUGAUGGUUAUAAUUGUUACGGCUUCCGUCGAAGGAGAGUCGGACCAAAAUGCAGCGUGGUUAAAUCGAGACAUCUUUAAUAACGAUGAAAACGAACAAUACAAAAACAACAAACGGAAAUGUGAAAACCUAUACAGCCUGUCUGGUGAAUACCAACACACUGAGACAGGAACAAUCACCCACAAAACACACAGUGAAACCCAGGCUACCUAAAUAUGGUUCCCAAUCAGAGACAACGAGAAUCACCUGACUCUGAUUGAGAACCGCCUCAGGCAGCCAUAGACUAUGCUAGACACCCCUACUCAGCCACAAUCCCAAUACCUACGAAAAAAACCCUAUACAUAAACACAACACAAAAUAAACCCAUGUCACACCCUGGCCUGACCAAAUAAAUAAGAAAAACACAAAAUACUAAGACCAGGGCGUGACAAUAAUGAUAGAACAUACAUGUGAUGGUUAUAAUGAUAGUUAGAACAUACAUGUGAUGGUUAUAAAAUGACAGUGUAGGUACAUAUUGUUACAGUACUUAACCACAAGUGUUACCAUUACAUAGGAUAUCUUUCUAUAGUUUUAUAAAAUGGUUAGUUCUGGCCUGGCAUUAUGAUUAGUUCAAACUAAAAGGUGUUUUCCAUUCAUGCUAUAUAUCACUGUAUUAUAUCAACAACUCUUUAUUAAUAUUACUUAUGAUUAAAACGAAAAGGUUCACAACAAAGUAUUCAGUGAUAAAGUACAUAUGAAUCUCAUCACAGCCUGAAGAGCAGUCAUGCAGUCACAGUCAGACAAGUGUCUCUACUCCUCCAUCAAACCCUAUCUACCCUACAUGCAUGUUCAAAUGGAAAACAGCCAUGUUCCCAUGUUUGUGGAGACUGUGUUCACGGUAAAGGCUGCAUAUAUCCACUCAAUUGGAAAUGUACAUUUCAAUCACACUGUAGUGUGUUUCAAUCGCUCUUUAGUGCUAUGUGUUGAAUGGAGCAAUUAUAUAGGACACAACUAAUAUGUAUACAGUAGGCUGGAAGUGGUGUUGGAGGGCCAGUAGGGGGCACUCUUCCCUCUGGUCUAAGGAGUUCCCAAUGCCCAGGGGCAGUGACAGGGACAUUGCCCUGCAUUAGGUGCAGCCUUUCAGAUGGGACAUUAAACAGAUGUCCUGACUGUGGUCAUUAAACUUCCAUGGCACUUAUUGUAACUGUAAGUGAUUUAACCUUUGUUUCAUGAAUAACUUAUUAUACCCGUCAAUUCCUAAUUGUUUUAUACUGUAUUUCACUCCUCACCUCUACACCAUUAAAGCUGAUGUCUGGUGAGUAUUCUGGCACAAAUGGUUACACCCAUAGUUGUGUACGACUAGAGAUUCAUCCAGGUCAUUUAGCAACAUUUGAGUUUAUGUCUUGUUUGGAAAUGACAUUCUUAUUCUGGAUUGGAUAGAUUUGUAUAACUCUUAUUUCUACUUGUAGGUAUUAAACAUUACCUCCAACAGAGGACUUGUGGAUUGGAUAGAUUUGUAUAACCCUUAUUUCUGCUUGUAGGUAUUAAACACUACCUCCAACAGAGGACUUGUGGAUUGGAUAGAUUUGUAUAACUCUUAUUUCUACUUGUAGGUAUUAAACACUACCUCCAACAGAGGACUUGUGGAAUAACUCUUAUUUCUACUUGUAGGUAUUAAACACUACCUCCAACAGAGGACUUGUGGAUUGGAUAGAUUUGUAUAACUCUUAUUUCUACUUGUAGGUAUUAAACACUACCUCCAACAGAGGACUUGUGGAUUGGAUAGAUUUGUAUAACCCUUAUUUCUACUUGUAGGUAUUAAACACUACCUCCAACAGAGGACUUGUGGAAUAACUCUUACUUCUACUUGUAGGUAUUAAACACGACCUCCAACAGAGGUCUUGUGGAAUAACUCUUAUUUCUACUUGUAGGUAUUAAACACGACCUCCAACAGAGGACUUGUGGAUUGGAUAGAUUUGUAUAACUCUUAUUUCUACUUGUAGGUAUUAAACACUACCUCCAACAGAGGACUUGUGGAUUGGAUAGAUUUGUAUAACCCUUAUUUCUGCUUGUAGGUAUUAAACACGACCUCCAACAGAGGACUUGUGGAUUGGAUAGAUUUGUAUAACUCUUAUUUCUACUUGUAGGUAUUAAACACUACCUCCAACAGAGGACUUGUGGAUUGG
ensembl:lncRNA